rnacentral:rRNA from 1 species
CGCACGGGUGCGUAACGCGUAUGCAACCUACCCACUACAGGGGGAUAGCCCGGGGAAACUCGGAUUAAUACCCCAUGGUAUCAUUGAAUCGCAUGGUUUAAUGAUUAAAGAUUUAUCGGUAGUGGAUGGGCAUGCGUCUGAUUAGCUAGUUGGUAGUGUAACGGACUACCAAGGCGAUGAUCAGUAGGGGAACUGAGAGGUUUAUCCCCCACACUGGCACUGAGAUACGGGCCAGACUCCUACGGGAGGCAGCAGUAGGGAAUAUUGGUCAAUGGGUGAGAGCCUGAACCAGCCAUGCCGCGUGCAGGAAGACGGCGUUCUGCGUUGUAAACUGCUUUUAUAUGGGAAGAAAAGGCCCUUGCGAGGGACAUUGCCGGUACCAUAUGAAUAAGCACCGGCUAACUCCGUGCCAGCAGCCGCGGUAAUACGGAGGGUGCAAGCGUUGUCCGGAUUUAUUGGGUUUAAAGGGUACGUAGGCGGUUGCUUAAGUCAGAGGUGAAAUGUAUCAGCUUAACUGAUAAACUGCCUUUGAUACUGGGCAACUUGAGACAAAUCGAGGCAGGCGGAAUUUAUGGUGUAGCGGUGAAAUGCAUAGAUACCAUAAGGAACUCCGAUAGCGAAGGCAGCUUGCUGGGUUUGAUCUGACGCUGAGGUACGUAAGCGUGGGUAGCAACAGGAUUAGAUACCCUGAUAGUCUACGCCGUAAACGAUGAUUACUCGCUUUUGCCACACUAUUAGUGGUAGAGGCUUAACAAAAGCGUUGGUAAUCCUCCCGGGAGAGCACCCUCGCAGGAGUGAAUAAUCUCGGAAGUGUAGGCCGUCCGCACCAUAGCUGGAGCACGUGUUUUAUUUCUGAGCAUCACAA